ACGAACGCUGGCGGCGUGCUUAACACAUGCAAGUCAAGGGGACCCGCAAGGGUAACCGGCGAACGGGUGCGUAACACGUGAGCAACCUACCGAGAUCUGGGGGAUAGCCGGCCCAACGGCCGGGUAAUACCGCAUACGCUCUUUCCACGGCAUUGUGGAUUGAGGAAACCUCCGGGGGAUUUCGAGGGGCUCGCGGCCUAUCAGCUAGUUGGCGAGGUCACGGCUCACCAAGGCGACGACGGGGAGCUGGUCUGAGAGGAUGGCCAGCCACAUUGGGACUGAGAAACGGCCCAGACUCCUACGGGAGGCAGCAGUGGGGAAUCUUGCGCAAUGGCCGAAAGGCUGACGCAGCGACGCCGCGUGUGGGAGGAAGCCUUUCGGGUGUAACCACUGUUGCCCGGGACGAACAGCUCCUUCGUGGAG
rnacentral:rRNA from 1 species